CAAUAGCGUAUAUUUAAGUUGUUGCAGUUAAAAAGCUCGUAGUUGGAUUUCGGAUGGGACUUGCCGGUCCGUCGUUUCGAUGUGCACUGGCCAGUCCUAUCUUGUUGUCGGGGACUAGCUCCUGGGCUUCACUGUCCGGGACUAGGAGCUGACGAGGUUACUUUGAGUAAAUUAGAGUGUUCAAAGCAAGCCUACGCUCUGAAUACAUUAGCAUGGAAUAACACGAUAGGACUCUGGCUUAUCUUGUUGGUCUGUGAGACCAGAGUAAUGAUUAAGAGGGACAGUCGGGGGCAUUCGUAUUUCAUUGUCAGAGGUGAAAUUCUUGGAUUUAUGAAAGACGAACUUCUGCGAAAGCAUUUGCCAAGGAUGUUUUCAUUG
rnacentral:rRNA from 1 species